CAAAAAGGAAAAAGAGAAGAUCAGCGGUCUCAUAAAUGGCUUUCUGUUAGGCAACGUACAGCGUGGUCUGGUCAACGUACAGCGUGCAACCGGAAGAUGGGUGCGCGCACUGCGCCGGAAAGAGACCAGAGACUUUUUUCUCAAGAAGACCAUGGCGGGGCGAAAGACGUCUCAAAGGACAUCUUCAAACUUUGAAAUCAGUGAUUCUGACGAUGACGAUGACAAUGAAGAAAUAUCCAAAGUUAUUAGGAACCUGGAUGCUAAGAUUCAAGAGAAAGAGAGCCGUGAGCCGGCGCUUCAAUGGCGAAAACGAGACCAAUUUGGGAGGCUGAUUGGAAAGAGUCACGGUUCAUCAAAAAUGUACUCCUCCACACGUCAGACACAGUCAUCAAAUAUUGGUGAAGAACAUGUGGAAGACAGCACAGGCCCAUUGACCUCUGAGUUGCAAGAGACCCACAACAUGAUUGACCUUCAUAUACAGGAGCUGCAGCAAAUGCUCGAUGCAGUUGGGGAGGAUGUUGCCGGAGGCUCCACAGAAGCCUCAUCCUCUUCAUCUCAAACAUGGAGCGUACGUCAGGCAUUAUCGGGAGAAAGAUGGCGAAAUGCUAGACCUCAGCUUCUUGAAGCCAUGCUGGAAGCAGGAAGGGUCCCGAAGGGCUUUUGCCAACUGUGCCAUGUUAAAGAGGCAGUCAUUAGCUGCACUGACUGCCUGCAGAAACACAUGUUGUGCUCUCAGUGCGACAUCACUCUACAUCGGCAAUACAGUUUGCAUAACCGAUCUUCGGUUGUCGGGAGCAGUCACAGAGCCCUUCCUCCAACGGAUAUCUUUGUCCAUGAUGCGAGUGGUGAGCCAACACUGGGCGAAGAAGUACGUCUCCUUCCAUUUGCGUUGCCCAAAAGCAUUUGCAGUAAGGCUGAAAAUGUGUCAGUGGUGGGCAAAAAAUUAUCUUGGUCAACAUGAAUGGUCGCUAUGAUCUCUCUGUUCCACUGCUGACAUGUGAAAGUUACAAAUGCAAAUGGACACCACAGAUUAAGGACUUUAUAUUAAAUGGUUACUGGCCUGGGACAAUUGAUUUCCAGACAGUGUUUGCUAUUGAGGUUUUCUCUUCAUUUGAAGACCUUAAAAUCUGUGCUCCUGGUCUGAGUAGACAUGCAUUUGUCCGACUGUUGGAAAGUCGCUCAGUUCGUGCUGGCAGGGUUGGCACAGUCUCAUCCGAAAAUCUCCAGAAGAGCUUUUUGGAGUGGACAUAUUGCCGGCACGAGAUUGAUUUACUUCUAGGCGAUGACCAUUUCUCCUGUCCUGCUUGUGGAGAUGAUAUGGUGGCAGUGUCUCUGGAUGGCAACAGGAAAAUGUACCGCUUCAAUCGCAAGGGGGCAGAUGAAUCCCCCUACUUUGAAGGGACUUUUGUCGCCAAAGACACUGAAGUGGAGGCAUUUGUGUCAAGGAUUCGCCAUCAAGUCAAAACUGCACCUGGACGCCCAUCCUGCGGUAAAUCCACGUUUAAAGCAGGCAUGGAGGCUACCAGAAAGUCUGAGACCAGACUGGACGAAGAGGGCAUGAUGACAUCCGUCUGCAGGCACUGCAUUCUCUUCAGUGGCCUCAACAUGUUUCGAGGAGAAAUAUUUGCCUACCCUCUGUACCUACAGCAAGAUCUUGGUGAAAAACACAAGAUAGAGUUUGUUUGCACAGACGUUAUGUGUAAAUACUACCCAUAUGUGCAGAGGGUAGUUGAGAAAUUUCCAGAGCUGCAGUAUGUCCUGCAGAUGCGACCAUUUUUAUCCGUGAUGCAUGCGAAAGGUCACUCAACGAGAUGUGAGGUUGAGUGGAGUGGUCGCAACCAGAAGGGGGCAGGUCUGACAGUUGGUGAGGAAGUGGAAAUGGUAAAUUCUUACCUCUCACGUGUAGCGACUACCACCAAAUACAUGAAAAAAGCAAGACGCACCGACAUGAUAACGCUUCAUGCUCGUGGUUGGAACAUGGGAAAGGUGAAAGUCUUGCACAGAUACCUAGCCAAAAGAUAUAUCAAGUCUAAGCAGAGGGCAGUUGCUGUGGGCAAGGAACUCCAAAACCUUUUGACAACACUGCAGACAACUCAAGUGGAGAUGAAGCAGUGGGUGAAGGAGGUUGAGGAGUGGGCUGCAUCCAGUCCAAAGUCCACCAAUUGCCAGGACCAACAGGGGCUGCAGCCGGUCAUGGAGGGUCUUGUCCUAAAGAUCAAGCAGCGUAAAGCUGAGCUGUACAGAGACAUAGACAAUAAUAAAGAUCGCAGGCCAAAGCGGGACCUUAUUACGAAGGAGAAACGUAAACUGGAGGAGUCAAUUGCUUCGUACAACAGUCUUGUACCUGACACGGCGGCUGUUGAUACAGCAGAUGCCAUUCUGAGUCAGGAAUUCCCCAUUUGGCCAUGGGAUUCUGGUAUAUGCAUUUUUAUUCACGUAAAACGUAUUAGUGUAUGUAUUUGCUUUACACAAUGUCCCUUUUGUAUUUUGUCUAUUCCCCAGGAAUAGUAGAAGUUCAUUUUAAAAAAAUUCUCAAGUUUGUUUUUAACUUCAUCAUAAUUACUUUGUUGUAGCAUCCACAAUCCCCCUCGAGACCAAGAAGGUGGUUUUUGACAAAACCAUGCUGCUGUCUCGAGUCCAGGAAGAGGAUGGGAUUCUCAUUAAGGAGAUGAGGAACCACUGCCGCUACCUGACUGGAUCCUCAAAAGCGGUCAAAAGAGAGAUCCAUCAGAUUGAGGAGGACCUGUCUAAACACAGUAGGCAUUUAACUGAAACACUGACACGUUUAAGUAUUGGAAUGCAAAGGGAUUCAGUGGUCACAAAUGUAUACAACUCACAUACAGUAUCACUGUUACUUUUCUCAUGAAUCUAAUAUAGCCCCUUUUCCCAUUUUAGGCUCUCCUCCUCCUAACAUGUCCUUGCAGGCCUAUGAGGGGCUGAAGUGCUUGUUGCUACAAAAGCUACAGGGGUUGACCAAACAGAUGGAUGAGGCCUUCACUACAUACAGGUUAGUAUACCUCAUGCAGACCAUUUUCUGAGAAAUACACACUUGCUUUGGUUGUUUUGAGUACAACUAAUUUAAAUUGGUGAGAGGCAUGUUCUUUGCGAUCCAUCUACACAUAAAACCAAUUUAUAGAUUCAAACAAUGCCACAUUUAUAACAUACCAUUUCUGGUACAAAAUAUAAGAAGGUUGUCUGACAUAUAACACAAUACAAGAAAUUAUACAAGAAAUUAAGACAUUAACAACAUUGAUAUAUGAUCCCCUUAAUAUGUGUAUUUGGUUUAAAUUAAUGAGUAUAGAGAUCCCUUACUACAUGACCGAAAGUAUAUUUUUGAUGAUUCAUCAGUUCUCUUUCUUUGAUGUUCAGGUAUAGAAUAUAAAUCAUCCGAAACAGCAGUGCGUAAAUAAACGCUUGACACACUGUCUGUAAAUACUGCAUAUCAGGUCAAAUGCCUUACAGAAUAUCUUAUUAAACAUUUCAUUACUUAUAAUCUUAAAUCACUGUUUACUCUAAAAUUCUGUAAUAUUACCUUGUAGGUAGUUAUACAAAUUGAUUUAUCUACUGUUAACAUUGCAAUGCUGUCAGAAGACAAGACUGGAUGCAAACCAUGACAAUAACUUGUGCUUUUACGUACAGGAAUGUAUUGACAGACCCCACUGCGCUUCGGGAAGAGAUUGAAGGCAUAGAGGAGAUGGAGGAGGAGGAGGAGGGGAGAUUCCAUUGUCCCUUGACGAGACUGACUCUGACAAUGCUGAAUAACGCGUCUCUGCAGGAGGAGAUUGAGCGGAAGGAGGGAUAAUUUGACAAGAUAUGUUGUAAAAAUGUUUAACUGGCCUCAUCGCAUAAUAUAAUCUAUAAAAACAAACUGUUCAAAAUGUUGUGUUGAGCUUGUGAUCUUGUUGUGCAAUUUUCUUCAGGGAAAGAGGGGUCGAAUCCAAAGGAAUAG
ensembl:lncRNA